GGAGAGAUGGCUGAGCUGGUCUAAGGCGCACGACUGGAAAUCGUGUUUAGGCUAAUACCCUAACGAGGGUUCGAAUCCCUCUCUCUCCGCCA
rnacentral:tRNA from 2 species